AGUCCAUGGUGUGGGCACUUCUUUAGCAUAGUCUUGAAACGUUCUCAUGCCUCGUACAGGGACUCAUCUUCGUAUUGUUUAAAAUUGGUGAUUUCUCACCGAAGUU
rfam:Gossypium raimondii Chr08_contig_361, whole genome shotgun sequence.